rnacentral:piRNA from 1 species
UAUUUGUGGUCAAAGUCCCCUCCAGGGAGUC